UACGAAGGGUCCAAGCGUUAUCCGGAUUUAUUGGGUUUAAAGGGUGCGUAGGCGGCUUAUUAAGUCAGUGGUGAAAGCCCGGAGCUUAACUCCGGAAUUGCCAUUGAUACUGAUGAGCUUGAGUACAGUUGAGGUAGGCGGAAUGUGUCAUGUAGCGGUGAAAUGCUUAGAUAUGACACAGAACACCGAUUGCGAAGGCAGCUUGCUAAGCUGUAACUGACGCUGAUGCACGAAAGCGUGGGGAGCAAACAGG
rnacentral:rRNA from 1 species